rnacentral:rRNA from 1 species
CCUACGGGGGGCAGCAGUAGGGAAUCUUCGGCAAUGGGGGGAACCCUGACCGAGCAACGCCGCGUGAGUGAAGAAGGUUUUCGGAUCGUAAAGCUCUGUUGUUAAGGAAGAACGAGUGUGAGAAUGGAAAGUUCAUACUGUGACGGUACUUAACCAGAAAGGGACGGCUAACUACGUGCCAGCAGCCGCGGUAAUACGUAGGUCCCGAGCGUUGUCCGGAUUUAUUGGGCGUAAAGCGAGCGCAGGCGGUUAGAAAAGUCUGAAGUGAAAGGCAGUGGCUCAACCAUUGUAGGCUUUGGAAACUGUUUAACUUGAGUGCAGAAGGGGAGAGUGGAAUUCCAUGUGUAGCGGUGAAAUGCGUAGAUAUAUGGAGGAACACCGGUGGCGAAAGCGGCUCUCUGGUCUGUAACUGACGCUGAGGCUCGAAAGCGUGGGGAGCGAACAGGAUUAGAUACCCGUGUAGUC